rnacentral:tRNA from 1 species
GGGUCGUUAGUCUCAGUUGUGUAGAGCAGUUGACUUUUAAUCAAUUGGUCGCAGGUUCGAAUCCUGCACGACCCACCA